GUAGGUGGCAAGCGUUGUCCGGAACUAUUGGGCGUAAAGCGCGCGCAGGCGGUUCUUUAAGUCUGAUGUGAAAGCCCACGGCUCAACCGUGGAGGGUCAUUGGAAACUGGAGAACUUGAGUACAGAAGAGGAAAGCGGAAUUCCACGUGUAGCGGUGAAAUGCGUAGAGAUGUGGAGGAACACCAGUGGCGAAGGCGGCUUUCUGGUCUGUAACUGACGCUGAGGCGCGAAAGCGUCGGGAGCAAACAGGGAUUAGAUACCCUGGUAGUCCACGCCGUAAACGAUGAGUGCUAAGUGUUAGGGGGGGUUUCCGCCCCCCUUAGUGCUGCAGCUAACGCAUUAAGCACUCCGCCUGGGGAGUACGGCCGCAAGGCUG
rnacentral:rRNA from 1 species